AGAGAGGAUAUGCCAUUCACCAUUGCUGAUUGAAAUCGCGCUAGCCUUGCAGAGCGUGUGCAUAUUCGCUACUGGACAGGGAUUCUGUCUAUGACCGCUGUCAGAUGAGCACCAAGUUCUGCAAGGUCAAAGUUGAGGAGACUACGGCCAGCGAGCCUUCUUCUGUUGCCGAUGCGAUAGAAGCCUUCCUCGUGAAUGUAAGCUUCUGAUCUCUGGUACUCCCUUUUACAGCCCCACUUUGCCAUUUGGAACUGUCAGCGCGAUUUCCCAAGCACUUGGAUGUCGCAAUCAGGGCAUGUGAUCUGACCGAACAAAAAGCUCUGGAAAGUCCUUUUUAGUCCUCUCAUAUUACGCUGUGUUGCUUUACAGGAUCCAGAUAUUGGGCAGGAUGUAGUGGACAAUUUGAGGGCUGCAGCAUCCACCCUGCGCUCAUUGCAAGGUCUUUCACCUCUCAUCUUCUCCUUGUUUCAUCUGAAACGAAGUGGAAGUAAUGCGGCAUUGCAUUUCAGAGUGUUGCAAUUGCUGAAACUAUUGCAUUCUGCACAAACGUCCCUCGCCCUAAUGAGGACGUGUUGUACAGGGGAGAAUUUUGUGCUGGACGCAAAGUCGUCAAAGAGCAAGCUGAAGCUGAAGGCCAAGGGGGCAAGGAUGCAGAGCGCAUAGUCCUCAACGCAGUACCAGCCAAAAUUUUGGGGAAGGUAGAGGGGAUGUGAUCGGGUAAUCCUUGAUCUGCUGCGGGAUCAGGACAAUAUUGACAUGCAUCCACUGCUCUUGUGUGAGAUUGGAAUGUUGCAUCUUGAGAUGCUUGACAGGACUGGAUAAUGUAGGGAAGUUAGCCUAAGUAGAGGGAGGUAUAGGCUACCUGGGGUAUACAGAUAACGUGACCCGAAGACAUCUGUGAUUUUUUCUUAUGUUGCGUGCCCGUCGGACAUGUCAUGACUUGAUGCUAUGACUUUAUAUUUGUUAGGACCAGCUGUGACAGCAUCUGUGUGGUCACCACCGUGGUCGUGAGCUUUCUGCAUGGUUGAUCCGAUCACUCUAGCUAGGAUGAUAAUUUAAUACCGUAAUAGGAAUUCCUAUCUUCGAAGACAAGAAUGACUUGCAGGGAUCCCUCCGGAGUCAACUGCUGAUCUGUGACAUAAUGUAAUAUAUUCCAAGUUGAAUAGCAUGUGAAGUGCUGCUUGAGGGGCCAGCUUGAAUGACAUGGGAUUCACCUUUUGUCGCAAAGGGGCCCGGGGCCGUGGCCAUGCCAUAUUCCACAACUGCAAAUAUCAAAUGCCUGAUCAUGUGACAUUGCAGUGAAAGCUUAUAAAGGCCUCAAGAGCUCGAAAAUAGGGUCAAGAUUUCUUAAAGCUUCAAAGCUUAUAAGAGCGUUGCCUACCCUGUAGAAGCCUCUUAAGAACGUGACCAACAAGACCGGUCUAAGCAUGAGACUGGUCCUAGCCUGCGGGCUUGCCAAACACUGUCUCUUCUCCGCGUUGCGCUCCCAGCAAUGUGCUGACACUAGACAUGCACGCCAGCACAGACUCUCACUGAAGGCAAAUCUGCAGCUCGGUUGCAAUUGCCUUCCCCGACCUAAAAUUCAUCUCUUGGGCUCUCAACUCUAGUUUUGCGGUCUCAUACGUGCGCACUCCAGGGGACCACUCUCUCAAUUCCCGGUACUUGAUUCUUGAUGUACAUGGCCUCCUGGUAGGAAGGCAUGGCAUUCAUUCACAGCCACCGCUGCACAACAGAUCGGAUCAUGGCAAUUAGUGGGUUUGCAGCGCGGGCAGAUCUUGCCACGCUUCGCCUCUGCUGUGGUUGCUAGACUGUCACGGGGGUCUUUGCCGGCUCCGCUGCAAAG
rnacentral:lncRNA from 1 species